GAUGAACGCUGGCGGCGUGCCUAAUACAUGCAAGUCGAGCGAACAGACGAGGAGCUUGUUCCUCUGACGUUAGCGACGGACGGGUGAGUAACACGUGGAUAGCAUCCCUAUAAGACUGGGGUAACUUCGAGAAACCGGAGCUAAUAGCGGAUAAUAUAUUGAGCCGCAUGGUUCAAUAGUGAAUGACGGUUUUGCUGUCACUUAUAGAUGGAUCCGCGCCGCUUUAGCUAGUUGGUAAGGUAACGACUUACAACCGCAACGGUGCGUAGCCGACCUGAGAGAUGGUUCGGCGCUAGUGGGACUGAGAGACCGGCCAGACUCCUACGGGGAGCAGCAGUAGGGAAUCUCGCGCGAUGGGCGAAAGCCUGACGGAGCAACGCGGGGUGGGUGAUGAAGGUAUUGGGAUCGUAAAACACUGUGAUUAGGGAAGAACAGAUGUGUAAGUAACUGUGGACGUCUUGACGGUACCUGAGCAGAAAGCCACGGCUAACUACGUG
rnacentral:rRNA from 1 species